rnacentral:rRNA from 1 species
AUUGAACGCUGGCGGCAUGCCUUACACAUGCAAGUCGACCGGUAACAGGUCUUCGGAUGCUGACGAGUGGCGAACGGGUGAGUAAUACAUCGGAACGUGCCCGAGAGUGGGGGAUAACGAGGCGAAAGCUUUGCUAAUACCGCAUACGAUCUCAGGAUGAAAGCAGGGGACCGCAAGGCCUUGCGCUCACGGAGCGGCCGAUGGGAGAUUAGGUAGUUGGUGGGAUAAAAGCUUACCAAGCCGACGAUCUGUAGCUGGUCUGAGAGGACGACCAGCCACACUGGGACUGAGACACGGCCCAGACUCCUACGGGGGGCAGCAGUGGGGGAUUGUGGAGAAUGGGCGCAAGCCUGGUCCAGCCAUGCCGCGUGCAGGAUGAAGGCCUUCGGGUUGUAAACUGCUUUUGUACGGAACGAAAAGACUCUGGUGAAUCCCUGGGGUCCAUGACGGUACCGUAAGAAUAAGCACCGGCUAACUACGUGCCAGCCGCCGCAGUAAUAC